AUUCCAAAUGAUAGAAAUAGAUACUGAUAUUUGAAGAUGAUAGUACAUAAUCAGUUAAUAUGAAAUUGCUGACAUCUUACUUUCUGAAGGUAAAUAUUAUAGGUGUUCUUAUAUGUCUCAGUUGCAUGCAAAGAUGGCUCCACUUUUCUAGCUUCUCUAGGUAGAAGAUGUAGUCUCUUGUGCUACUGAUGGUGAGGCCUCUACAAUACAUGAUCUGGAAUUUUCUUCGUUGCACUCGCUCCCAGAUGGGCAAGCAAGUUUGUGGUUGCUCGCCCAGCUAAGGUCACUAAGACCCUUCUCAAGUACGUUCCAGCUCAGGAGAUACCAUCUCAAUAUGGUGGCUUCAAAAGGGACAAUGACACUGAGUUCUCCUCUGAAGAUUGUGCUGUUUCUGAACUAAUUCUUAGGGUUGGAUCCAUUGGAACCAUUCAGAUAGAUGCAGCUGAGGCUGAUAACACAUUAGUCUGGGACCUCACUGUUUUGGGCUGGGAAGUGAAUUACAAGGAGGAGUUUGGUCCUGCUGAUGAGGGCUCUUACACCAUUAUUGUUCAGAAGAGAAAAGAAAAUAGGCUCCAAUAAUGAAGGGCCUAUCCGCAACACUUUCAGAAGCAAUGAACCAGGGAAGGUUGUUCUUACAGUUGAGAAAACUUCAAGCAAGAAGAAGAGGGUUCUGUACUGGUACAAGGCGAAGAAUUGCUCCACCUUCUGAGAGUUCAACUGUGAAAGGUUGCUGCAAGUAAAUUGUUUGAGAGGGCAUUAUAUACAUAGUUAGAGCUUAUUCUUUUAGACUGGGGCAAUAAUUGAGUGAGGAUAGAGAAAUUAAUAGUUCAUUUUUUUUGGAGGAUCCAUAUGAUUCUGUAAUUUCAUAUGUUUUGAUGUGAAUCUUUUGCUUUGGGAUUUCAAUUUGGCAGACUUUGUGAGUGAAAUA